rnacentral:rRNA from 1 species
AGACGGAGGGUGCAAGCGUUAAUCGGAAUUACUGGGCGUAAAGCUCUCGUAGGCGGCUUGUUAAGUCGGAUGUGAAAGCCCCGGGCUCAACCUGGGAAUUGCAUUCGAUACUGCAGGACUAGAGUAUGGUAGAGGAAAGCGGAAUUCCCGGUGUAGCGGUGAAAUGCGUAGAUAUCGGAAGGAACACCAGUGGCGAAGGCGACUUCCUGGGCCAAUACUGACGCUGAGGUGCGAAAGCGUGGGGAGCGAACGGGAUUAGAAACCCCGGUAGUCC